AUCAAUCACAGGGCAGGGUGGGCAGGGGCUGGGCUCCGGGGGGCCACCCAGCCGGGCCAGAGGUGGUGCUGCAUGCCCAGCUCCCUGGCUGCUGGCCCUGCCCGGCUUGGAGCUGCCACAAUUUCUGCUCUGAGAGCUGGACUAGAAUCCUUGGCGGCCACUGACUGGCCUCGUCUCCAGGUCCCUCCUGGAGUCCGCGCAUGGAUCCAGCCAAGACCUCUGGGCCCAGUGCCCCAGGGUGAGGGGCCCACGUGAACCUAACACGACUGGUGCAGAGCCGUGCGCGGAGGCCGGAGCUCUGCUCUUUCUGGCAGAGACCACGGACGCUCUCCGGAAGCAAACAUCGAGCCCUUUCUGAAAGUCACGGGUGGUCUGCCCGUUGGUGCCCAAGGCUGUGCUGACCGGCACCCCACCCACCUCCCCUGGCCCCCGGGGGAAGGCCUGUGGCUGUGAGCUGAAGCCCCACUGGCCGUGGACCCUCUGCUCUAGGCCCUCAGACUUCAGGGGCUCAGCCCCCUCCAGGGGGCAUCUGCUGCUGGGCCAUGAGACAGCCCCAGAAAGAUGCACCUGCCAGGGCGCACCCCACCCCAGCCAUGCUGUAGCUCACCCCCGCCAGGGCAUACCCCACCCCAGCCAGGCCGUACCCACCCCCACCAGGCCGUACCCCAUCCCAGCCAGGCCGUAUCCGACAUCAGCCAGGGCGCACCCCACCCCAGCCAGCGUGUGCCCACCCCAGCCAAGGCAUACCUGACGCCAGCCAGGACAUACAGCGCCCCUGCCCCCCUCCCACACACACGGCCAGGCCAGGCCAGCUGUCCACUCUUUAACAGGGAAAGCUGAGGGGGUCAGGCCCCAGAGUGGCUUCCCCGGGAAAGAAGGCCCCUCUCCUGGCUGGGAGAGAAAACCACUGGGCCUGCAGGAGCAACACCUCGUUCGCCAGUGGAGCUGUCACCCUAAGGUCAAGGUCAUGUGUCCCCCAUACCUGGUGGUCCUGGAGAUGGACAGCAGGCUCCGAUUCUGCUUCUGGAAAUACACUCGCAAUUAAACCGAGAAGUCGGAGAGCCGCCUGGAGAGCCAAGCGGCAGUUACACAACCCUCACCGGGCUCCCAGUGGCCCAGCGCAGCGGGAAGACGCACGUGCCUGCGGCCACUCCGGUCCUGCUGUGGCCUCCCGGGCAAGGAUGAGCGCAGGAGUGGACAGAGUCCUUGUCACCACCGUGCUCACGCUCUGGCAGAGUCCUUGUCACCACCGUGCUCAAGCGACGGGGCACGCCUCGGAUCAGGCACCACCAGGGUUGGAAGGAGUGUGGCUGAGCAUGCGGGGGUGGGGGCAGCUGGGGAGGGGACAUUGGAUAAGAUCUGACAGCACAAAGGAGGCAGCACGGGUACAUCUGGGCAGAGGGCAAAGCCAGUGUGAAGGCCCUGGGGCAGGAGACCGUUAGUGGCGGAGCAGAGAGGGCCAGUGAGCAAGGCCGCAGCGUCGGGCAGGUGCGGGGAGGUUGGGGGGGGUUGGGGCAGGCGGGUGGGGGAGGCUGGGGAGGGGACGCGCCAGGGCUUGGCGUGGGAGGGCAUCUGCAGCAGGGGGCAAACCUGGCCCCCUGGGGUUUGCUUCCAAUGGCCCUGCCUGCACGGGCUGGCCUGCCAAGUUCGCCUCCAGGGGAAACUGCUUAUUUGUUUAGGAAAAAAUGUUAAGGGACUUUCGUUUCUAAAAGGAGAACCCAGAGCUCGGUCUGGACCUGGAAUCAAGACAGAGUGGAAGCGCUCCCCCUCAGAAGGAGGGCCCCGAGGGGAAAGCUGCUGAGCGGCCCCCCUUUGCCUGCGGGGAGGGGAGGGGAGGGCAGGGGAGGGCCGGGCAGCGCGGGGAGGGGUGCAUCAGACCUGGUUUUCAUUUAAUUUCUCUGAUGGCUGGGGAGAUUACUUUCACUUCGGACGUUUGAAUUAUUUUAUGUAAACUGUUUCACCCUAGUCCUUCUCCAUUUUCCAUUGGGCUCUCUGUCUUUUUCUUCUGUUUUGGAACCUCUUCUUCUGUCACAAAUAUUUUCCCAAUUUGUCACUGUGUUAUUUUUUUAUUUAUUGAAGAUAUUUAUAGAUACAAAGAUGUUAGAAUUGUACACACUCGAAUUUAUCUGUAUUUUCCUUUCAUGAUUCCUCUUCGGAUUAGUGCCUAGAAAGGCCUCAUCCAAUUAAAAACUGGUGCAAUACUUCCAUAUGCCUUUUUAAUUUAUGGAGUGAUUUUCUUUUUGAUGUGUUCUCUAAUCCAUCUGAAAUUAAUUUGUGUGGAUACUUGGGUAGGGAUAUAACUUUAUUUUUUUUCUUCCGAUAAUUAACCAAUUCCCCCCGCGUCGUGUGUUGAACAUUCGCUGUGGAACAGUGCAGUCCUCCUGGGCCUGGACUUUGAGGGAGACUCUUGGUGAAGGGGCCCAUCGGAGCUGUGGGCAGGGUUUCUGGAAACUGAGAGGCCUGAGCCUUCCCCAGGAGCUGGCGCUGGGUCGUCCUGGGCCUGAAGCUACCCAGAGUGUCACUGGGAUGGCACAGGGGAGCUGUUUGCAGAGACACCCCCGCAGGGCCCUGCCCCUGGGGUAGAGACGCAGCCUGUCCAGAGCAAGCUGGCAGAGCGGUCAGGAAGGAAGGCCCCGCACCCCCACCCCCGUGCCCCCUGGCGGGUGGCCCCAGGAGGCUGAGAGCCAGGCUGAGGAGUUCUGGAAGGCAGAGGAAAUCUGAGUUCCAGCCAUCCCUCGGGGGAGCCCUGAGCCCCUCCCCAAGGCAGUCACCGGAUGGCCACCUGCACCCUCGCAGCCUUGGGGCCCGAGGCUGACCUGCUGGGCAGACAGACGAGGCCUGCAGACCAGGCUUUGCUUAAGCUGCAUUCGGCCCCACCAGCUCCACCCCCGCCCGGAUGGACAGACGGACAGAGUGGCAGGUGUUGGGGAGCCCUCCUUCCUCUGCCUGGAGCAACUGGGGACGGAGAAACAUCUGGACCUCACUGGCUCUCACACACACCGUGUUACGCUUGUAACCAAGUUACCAAACUUGGGAAGAGGCAGGAAAGUAGGACCCACAAUUAAGAGGAAAGUACAAGUGGACCAGAGGUGAUUCGGAGGUUCGAGUCAGCGGACAAAGGCUUUAACGGGGACGAAUCUGUUAUACCACAGGAAAGAUGGAAUAAGUAGGUGAAAAAUGGGAAUUGAUGUCUUAAAAAAAUUAAGGUUUAGAUGAUAAAACCAUCACAUGGAAAUCGCCAACUUCAAUCUUCAGGCUCUGAAAUGAGUAAUUCACUAAUGGCUUUAGCAGCGGAACACAGGCCUGUGACCUGGAAAAAGCAGGUGAAUAGAAAAAACCCAGACUGUGGCACGGAGAGUAAAACCAGAGAAGCAGGUGAGGGACGCAGGCGGUGGGCGCCACGCUCUGGUCGCCUUGCGGCUGGAGCUCCGGAGACACCGGUGCAGACGGCCGAGGGCAAAGAGGUGACGCCCUAGACGCUUCCAGAAGGGGGAAAACCGCCACCUCGGGGAUUCAAGAAGCUCUGCAAACCCUGGCAGAAAGAUCAAGCUAAUGAAGAAUAAAAGAUACUCUUAAUUCCA
rnacentral:lncRNA from 1 species